rnacentral:rRNA from 1 species
UACGGGGGGGGCAAGCGUUGUUCGGAAUUACUGGGCGUAAAGGGUUCGUAGGUGGCUGGCUAAGCCAGACGUGAAAUCCCUCAGCUUAACUGGGGAACUGCGUCUGGGACUGGUCGGCUUGAGUGCAGGAGAGGAACGCGGAAUUCCAGGUGUAGCGGUGAAAUGCGUAGAUAUCGUAAGGAAGACCAGUGGCGAAGGCGGGUCUCUGGACAGUUCCUGACGCUGAGGCACGAAGGUCAGGGGAGCAAACGGG